UCUUGGUGGACAGAUAGAACUGC
rnacentral:piRNA from 1 species